AAAUCCGGCGCAAAGUGAACCUAGGGGUUAAUAACACAUGUGUACCGAGUCGACCGUUCUCUGGGAUAUCUUUUCAUGCUAAUCGAAUGUGACCAGUUUCAUCGCAAACCACUAAUUAGCUUAUGAUGCUAGUCAUAUAUAGGCAGGC